CUCAGCCCCCAGCAGCGCCUUCGGCCCAUUCACGCUCUUACCCAUGGCAGGAAGUCCUUGUUAAGGGGACCGCGAGCAGGCACCGGCUCCUGUGGGUCGCGGGCUGGCUCUCCUCGGCGGCGUUGGGGGCCCUCGUCAUUCUCUACGUCAGGAAACCCGGAGGCGGAGGGGGCCCGGCGGCCCGCGGCUGUCUCCUUGCAGGUGCCUGAGAGCUCAGGGCCCUUCGUGUCAUCGCCUGAGACCCGAGAUGCAGACGCUCCGGUCCCCAGGAUGGGGGCGCGCCGCCUGCCUGAAGAUGACCUGGACAUGGCGUCCGAGCCCCUGAUCCUCCCCGGGGCCCCGGAGAGCCCGGCGGGGGUGGAUGGCCCGUGGCCGGAGGCGGAGGCGGGUGACGAGGCCGGGCCCCACGCUGGUCACCACGGCCUGACCCUUCUUCACCCCCCGCCCCCCCGGCCUGAGGGUCAGGCUGAGGUCCCGGUGGGUCGUGUGGGCGCAGAGGGGCCACGUGCUGCUGCUGAGGAGCCCGGGAGGCCCGCGAGGCCGCCGUCCCGCCUCGGAGACCAGGUGGCCACACAGGACGGUCUGCAAUCAAAACGUUCCCACCCCGGCCGGCGUGGCUCCGUGGUUAGCGCGUCGGACUGUGCACGGAAGGGUCGGAAGUUCCAUUUCCGGUCCAGGGCUCGGACCUGGGUUGCAGGUUCACCCCUCACCCCCUGUCAGAGCCCCUGGGUGAGACAACCAGUCGAUGUGUCUCUCUCUCGCCCCCCUCCCUCCAUCCCUUAUACCCCCUUUGGAGACUCCAUGGAAGACACAUCCUCAUCAAAACGACAAUGAGGACCCGAGCGUAAUAAAUGUAACUCCAAACUAAAAAAAAAACAAACAAACAAAACCCAAAAAACAAAACAAAACAAAAAACAACAAUGAGGUACCACCUCACACCUGUCAGAAGAGGAUGCGGAGAAAAAGGAACCCUCGUGCACUGCUGGUGGGAAUGCAGACUGGUGCAGCCACUGUGGAGAACAGUAUGGAGUUUCCUCAAAAAACUAAAAAUGGAACUCCCAUUUGACCCAGUGAUCCCACUCCUGGGAAUAUAUCCCAAGAAAAUGGAAACACCAAUCAGAAAGGAUAUACGCACCCCUAUGUUCAUAGCAGCACA